UAUCUAGGGGUUUAACACAUGCUAGUCUAUGGUUUUUAAAUCAUGGCGUACGGGCUAGGAAUACUUAGAAUGAUAUCUCUAUGAUCGUGGAAAUAACGUAAAAGGUCUAAUGGCCGCAUAGAGGUUUGCUUCGUAACUCAAUAGGUAGUUGGUGGGGUAAUGCCUAACAAGCCGAUGAUGAGUAAUAUUGGAUGAAAGUCCUUAAUAUAGCAGUGGAAAUGAAAAAGUCCACCGUUACAUAUUAGCGCAGCAGUGGAGAAUCGUUGUAAAGUGCAUUUGUAUCAUUAUUGGUACUAAGCAUGAACACGCCACCUAGAUUCGGAUAAGGGAUAGUAUCCUUUACCGAUAAAAGAACUUUGAAAAAUGAUCUGGUUCUUAGUAGUGGGUGACAAUCGCCGUGCCAGCAUCAGCGGUAAAACGGCUCCCGCAAGCAAUAGUAAUUUAAAUUGGUGUAAAGGGUACGUAGCCGGCCAUCUUUGGCUUGAGUUAGAUAUGGGUAAGUACAAUACUUGGAGUAGGGCUGAUAUCCGAUCAUCCCAAGGGGAGUGCUAAAGGCGAAGGCAACUUACUGAUAAUAACUGACGGUGAGGUACGAAGGUUAGGGCAUGGAACGGGAUUAGAUACCCCAUUACUCCUGACAGUAAACUAUGUAGAUUAGAGAUUGGAUUCACCAGUUUCUACGCUAACGCAAUAAAUCUACCACCUGUAGAGUAUAGUCGCAAGGCCGAAAUACAAAUAAUUAGACGGCCUGAGAGCAAACGGAGUGAAGCAUGUUAUUUAAUACGAUAACCCGCGUACAAUCUUACCAGUCUUUGAAUCUUAUGACAGGUGUUGCAUGGUUGUCGUCAGCUCGUGCUAGUGGUGUCUGGUUAAUUCCAAAUAACGAGCGCAAUCCUUAUUUCUAGUUAAAUCUAGGAAUUUCCAAUUUACUCGAAAAAUUUUUCCGGUAAAUGGUUCAAGGAAUAUGACAAACCCUCAUGGCCCUUAUGGACUGGGUAAUAGACGUGCCACAAGAGUCUUGACAGAAUGAAGCGAAAUGGUAACAAUGAGCUAAUCAUCAAAAAAGACUAAUGUACGAAUUAUGGGCUGGAACUCGCCCAUAUGAAGUAGGAAUUCCGAGUAAUCGCGCAUCAUUACGGCGCGGUGAAUAUCAUCUCUUGGGUGUACUAACUGCUCGUCACGGGACGAAAGGGAGCCUAUUAUGAAGUAGGGUUAGUUAGCCUCGGCUGGUUAAUGUUACGAAUAAUAUCACCUAAUUGUUCUGAAGUCGAAACAAGGUAACCGUAAGGGAACUUGCGGUUG
rnacentral:rRNA from 1 species